rnacentral:lncRNA from 1 species
GGACUUGAUUCUUUGAAGGGGAUUAGACAUCCAGCUCAGGUGGAUUAGUCAAAGGCUACAUCCUGGGGUUUGGGCCUGAGCAAUUAAGAAAUGAUGCUACCAAGAGAGAUGGGGGAGGUUGGAGGUGUAAAAAGCAAAUGAGAAUUUGCCAAGCCUGGACUGUCUGUACAUGAGGGAGCCCAGCCCAGAGCAGCCCAGCCUUAGGCAGAAACACAUGCUCACACUCUGCAGCCAGUCUUGGAUUGGAUUAACAUUUGAAGUUCAGAGGAACAGGGGACACAGAAGACAACUUGGACUAGGAUCCAAGACUCCACCCAGGACCCCCUUAGAAGCAGCUGCAGUUAAUCUAGAGGAUUGCUACUUCCUACAGAAACCUACCCUGACUUCUCCAGUAAGCAACAGACUUCUGAUGUCAGUAGGGGCAGCACUCUACUCUCAAAGAUAUUCUCCAGUGUCUGAUACACACCCACAAAGCAUCAAAGCAGCAGCAGCAGCAACCAUAAUGAAGCUCACAGUAGACUCAUUCCACUUCUAAGUCCAUUCACCAAUGGACUUUACCAACUCCAUUCAUAAGCUCCUUGAUCCUUUGGAAGUCUACGCACUGACUGCGGAUGUUAGCUUCAGUCCUUCUGCCCUCUCUUCUCUCUCUACAGCCAGUUAGCAAGGAGGCGGGGCUUCAGAGAAUGCAGUACUUAUUUCACAAAUGAACUCCUGAGAAGGAAGGUCAUGUGAAUAUCCCAUGGUCCACAGAGCUCUUCAAACUGAGACUGGAAACAUGUUGUCUGUGCCUCUCUUUUCACAUGGCUGAGCAGUGCACAGCCCAAAGCUGUGCAAAUAUGAGCGGCAUUCACCGAACUGUUCUGUGAGCAGAGGACUGGAGUCUGGAAGCUCAGACCAUAGUUUCUAGUCCCCAAGUCAACAUAUGGCAAGUUAACUAUUAACCUAAAAGCAAUCUUCCUGUCAAGUCUGAGUCUCUCCUCUGGGUAGGAGGAUUCGCACUCAGGGUUUUUAAGUUCUGACAGCCUGAAUCCACAUUCUGAACCCAGAGCCUGGUAUCCCAUUGGCAGGCUGACAUGGCAACUUAUGGAUUCACACAACCUUGAGACUGGCCCCAACCAUACCGUUUACCAGCUAACUUAGCCUACUCAGUGUAUGAUCCUCUCUGAGCUUAAGCAUCUUUCUCCGUGAGUGAAAUAGUCACAUCUUUCCCUAAGCCUGACGGUAGGCAUCAAAUACCCACAGUGCACCUCUGCCCUGCCUGCCAGUGGCCUAGAAGAGCUGGACCAACACACGGCAAGCACGGGAGCACCAAAAAGAGGUACUGGUCAUACCAGGAAGAUGAUACAAGCAAAACAAAUUAUGGGGUAUUUCUGGGUCCCUAAAUAAUGGUGAGAGGAACUGAGAACUUCUCCCUCGGGAGGGGAUGCACAGAGGAUUACAAAUCUUUUUUUCUUUGGGGAAGUUUUAGGACUUUAUUGUUGUAUGUUCUGUAUAAUAAAUUGAAUCUCUUAGAAUGUAGAAUUUGAUAAGCAUGAGUGUGCACCUGCAAAACCAACAACACACUCAACAUAAUAAACAUAACCAUUGCCCCGCCCCCAAA